rnacentral:rRNA from 1 species
GAUGAACGCUGACAGAAUGCUUAACACAUGCAAGUCAACUUGAAUUUGGGUUUUUAACUUAGAUUUGGGUGGCGGACGGGUGAGUAACGCGUAAAGAACUUGCCUCACAGCUAGGGACAACAUUUAGAAAUGAAUGCUAAUACCUGAUAUUAUGAUUUUAAGGCAUCUUAGAAUUAUGAAAGCUAUAAGCACUGUGAGAGAGCUUUGCGUCCCAUUAGCUAGUUGGAGAGGUAACAGCUCACCAAGGCGAUGAUGGGUAGCCGGCCUGAGAGGGUGAACGGCCACAAGGGGACUGAGACACGGCCCUUACUCCUACGGGAGGCAGCAGUGGGGAAUAUUGGACAAUGGACCGAGAGUCUGAUCCAGCAAUUCUGUGUGCACGAUGAAGUUUUUCGGAAUGUAAAGUGCUUUCAGUUGGGAAGAAAUAAAUGACGGUACCAACAGAAGAAGUGACGGCUAAAUACGUGCCAGCAGCCGCGGUAAUACGUAUGCCACGAGCGUUAUCCGGAUUUAUUGGGCGUAAAGCGCGUCUAGGUGGUUAUGUAAGUCUGAUGUGAAAAUGCAGGGCUCAACUCUGUAUUGCGUUGGAAACUGUAUAACUAGAGUACUGGAGAGGUAAGCGGAACUACAAGUGUAGAGGUGAAAUUUCUAGAUAUUUGUAGGAAUGCCGAUGGGGAAGCCAUCUUACUUGGACAGAUACUGACGCUUAAGCGCGAAAGCGUGGGUAGCAAAACAAGAUUUAAAUACCCUGGUAGCCAAAGGGCGAAUACCUCAUGGAUAUCACCUUUCUAUCCUUCACCUCUGGGGGGGGGUUG